rfam:Candidatus Kaiserbacteria bacterium RIFCSPHIGHO2_02_FTLL_49_34 rifcsphigho2_02_scaffold_7574, whole genome shotgun sequence.
CCGCCCAUAGCUCAGCUGGUAGAGCAGGCGCCUCUUAAGCGCAAGGUCCUAGGUUCGAACCCUAGUAGGCGGA